rnacentral:lncRNA from 10 species
GGGAGAUAUGGGGGUCCUCGGUAAGGUCUUCCUCUUAAUGAAAAGCAGCCCCCAAAUCAUUUUCUUCUCUAGCAAAGAGCAGCCUGUAAAAUCGAGUGGCAGACAUAGACAAAAAAGCUAGAAGUUUGCACAGGUGAAUGCUGGCAGUUGUGCCAAUAGGAAGAAACUACUCGGGAAUAGGCAUGCUCAAAAUGGCAGCUCCGUCUUCUCUUCUCUUUGCCAGCCACAUGUACAGUAAGAGGCAGACAAGAUGGCACUGACCAAGCAGAAAGCCAUUUGCAUGAUAAGAUUAGGGUGGGGCAACCAGCCUUCCCCACGCACCAUGUAAACAUCACACCUGGUCGAACCAAUCUGUGGGCCUUACAUAAGUCAGACACCUCCUUCUCAAGCCUGCCUGUAAAAUCUGAUGAGGUCCACCACUUUUUCCUUUUCAGACACCUCUCUCUCGAAAGAGGGAGAGAGCUGCUCCUCUUCUCUCCUUUCUUCUGCCUAUUAAACUUUCUGCUUCUUAACCCAUUCCAUGUGUGUGUGUCCAUAUUGUUAAUCUUCUUGGUGCAAGAGGACGACUCCCAGGUAUUUACCCCAGACAACAAUGCCACUUCAGUAUGGGAGAUGUGGAGUAGAAUGGUGCACGGUAUGGGGUCUGUGUGUCUUGUUCCAAUGGCUAACUUGGGUUGUCGUCUGUUCAGGGGUCUGGUUGGUAUUAUCUUGACUUUGUCCAAAUGAUGGUGGACUAACCAUUAGUAUUAGUGGCUCUCCCUAAGUGAAAGGAUUCUGUAAUCAGGGCUCCUGAUUUGCCUGGUUUGUUUUAAGAUUAGCCUCUGGAAUUUCUCAAGGAAGUGCCUAAUUAGAUAAGCAUGCAUUGCCAGAAGGGAGUAUCUAGAGAGGGAAGGAAUGAAGAGGUGAGAGGAGAGGAGGGUGAUUAAAAGUAUAUAUGUGUGUAGAUAGAUAGAUAGAUAGAUAGAUAGAUAGAUAGAUAGAUAGAUACUUAUAAAUAAAUGAAUAUACACAUAUAUAUAUAUUUUUUUUUAGAGGGAGUCUCACUCUUCUCGCCCGGGUUGGAGUGCAGUGGUGCAAUCUCAGCUCACUGCAACCUCCUUCUCCCGGGUUUAAGCAAUUCUUGUGCCUCAGCCUCCCAAGUAGCUGGGAUUAUGACUCCCACCACCACACCCGGCUAAUUUUUUUGUAUUUUCAGUAGAGGCAGGGUUUCACCAUGUUGGCCAGGCUGAUCUUGAACUCCUGACCUCAGGUGAUCUGCCCACCUCAGCCUUCCAAAGUGCUGGGAAUGCACGCAUGAGCCACCGCACCCGGCAAUUAAAAUAUCUUUUUAGGCUGGUCCAAGUGCAGUGGUGUUUACAACUAAUUGUUCACAACCAGUUACAUAUUUCUUUGUUCCUUCUCCACUCCCACUGCUUCACUUGACUAUCCUAAUAAAAAAAUUAAUAAAUAAAAUAUAUUUUUAAACUGAAGUCCCCAGUUACGAAAUCCCCACCAUCAAACUCCAUUCCAUUUCUAUGGAAAACAGGUGAUGCAUCCAUUCUGGCUACUUCCUGCUGAAAAGGGGCAGAAUUAGGCAGCCAUGGGGUAGAACCUAUCCACCUGGAGUUGAAAGGAUUCACAAGUCCCUGGGCUUACACAAGAGAAUCUUCUGGGAAGGGCAGAGCAAGGUGGCCAAAUAAAGAGUGCCACCAAUCAUCCCUCCAACAGGAGCACCAAGUUUGACAACUAGCUACACAAAGGGAGUGCCUUCCUAGGACCCAAAAAUCAGGUGAGCACUCACAGUGCCUGGUUUUGACUUCAUAUCGCUGAAAGAGGCACUGAAGAGGGAAGGAAAGACAGUCUUGAAUUGCCAAUGCCACCCCUCCCCCACCCCCCCCAGCAGCAACCAUGUGGACAGAGAGUCUGUGAGUUGGGAGGGGGAAAGCGCAGCAAUUGUGAGGCUUUGCAUUGAAUUCACUGCUCACUUGUCACAGCAGAAAGCGGAACUGGGCUGUCCCCAGCUGACCCAUCCAUAGGGGAAGCAGUUGGACUGGCCCUAACCAGAGCGGAAUCACCCAUUUCAGUGGUCAGGGCUUGAGUUCCAGCAAGCCUUGCCACUGCAGGGUGGAGUGCUCUGGGUCCCUAAGUGAAUUUGAGGGAAAGUGAUUCAGUCAGAAAGAAAAGGUUGUCAAUGAGCAGUAAGAAAUCAUCCGAAGGUACAACACUCACUGGUAAUAGUAAGUACACAGAAAAAACACAGAGUAUUAUAAGACUGUAGCUGUGGUGCAUAAAGGACUCUUAUCUUAACUAGAAAGACUAAAAGAUAAAACAAUCAAAAAUAAUACCUACAACAGCUUUUCAAGACACAGACUGUGCAAUAAGAUAUAAACAGAAACAACAAAAAGUUAAAAAGCAGGAAGGCAAAGUUAGAGUUUUGUUUUGUUUUUUGAGAUGGAGUCUCGUACUGUCACCCAUGCUGGAGUGCAGUGGUGCCAUCUCAGCUCACUG